rnacentral:rRNA from 1 species
GACGAACGCUGGCGGCGUGCUUAACACAUGCAAGUCGAACGGAAAGGCCCAGCUUGCUGGGUGCUCGAGUGGCGAACGGGUGAGUAACACGUGGGUGAUCUGCCCCUAACUUCGGGAUAAGCUUGGGAAACUGGGUCUAAUACCGGAUAGGACAAUCGUUUAGUGUCGGUUGUGGAAAGUUUUUUCGGUUAGGGAUGGGCCCGCGGCCUAUCAGCUUGUUGGUGGGGUAAUGGCCUACCAAGGCGUCGACGGGUAGCCGGCCUGAGAGGGUGGACGGCCACAUUGGGACUGAGAUACGGCCCAGACUCCUACGGGAGGCAGCAGUGGGGAAUAUUGCACAAUGGGCGCAAGCCUGAUGCAGCGACGCCGCGUGGGGGAUGACGGCCUUCGGGUUGUAAACCUCUUUCGACAGGGACGAAGCUUUGGUGACGGUACCUGUAUAAGAAGCACCGGCUAACUACGUG